UCGUUUCCCCUUCCCACUCUCCCGAUUCAGAUCGGGAUCCCUCCAACACCACCGGCUCCCUCCUCUGUACCUGGCUGCCGCACCCCAUGUUUCUCUCCCUUCCAUAUCCGGCGAAGAAACCCCCUGGACGCCCUCGUCUUCGUCCCUUCCCUUCAUCUCCCUCUACCGCCAACCAGCGCUGCGAUCCUCUCCCCACCGCCACCAACAGGUGUCGAUCAGCUCGUCUUUGAUGGAUCUUGGCUGGGAAGUGGUGGCCUCAAGCUCAACUCCAGCUCGGCGAUGACGGCAACGUGCUCACUGCAGGUGACAAAAACGAGGGGCUUCAGCCCAACUGCCUCUACAUCAACAAGAUCCAUCGUGCCGCCAGUGCCCGACCACCCUGGGAACUUGCCCGGGCUGCUGCCUACGCGUACGCUAUAGGAUGUCUUGCCACAGCUGGAAAAAAUAUAGUUAUUUCCCGGGCAAAAUUGUGUUGGGCUGGCUUCCUUUGGUAAUGGGUUUGGUAAGAGCUAGGCCUAGCAAGCGAACGUAGGUUCGGCUAUUCAUUAAUCGCCGUUUCUGUUUGCUGGACGCUCACCUCCCCCCGGCGCCUGUUCGGCUGUGUAUCGCAUGGAAACGGACUAGCGUCGGUGAGCCGAGGUUGGCCUUGUCCUAGGCGCGCGGCCGGCGGCGGGAUGAGAAGAUCCUCGGAAAGGCAGGAACACCAUGUAUACUCGCCUACUUGUUCCUUCCUUCCUAAUGAGAUUAGGUAAGAUUCCUAACUGAUGGGGUUAUCUGGAUAGACUUGGGGCUUAAAUUUUGAUGCCAUGUCAUUGGAAAUUAUUCAAGUUUGUUGAUGAUAAGAAUACUAAUCGAACAUUUAUGCAAUGAAGUAGCAGAAAUGACAUUUGCUUCAUAAUUUUCUUUAGCACCCUAUUCGUAUGUCCCAUACAAUUUUUAUUCCAAAUCCUUUUUUAUCCAGUAAAUAUUUUUUAGGAAAAUUGGAUGGUAAUUUGGAUAGCUAUACUUUUGCUUGCAACAAUACGAGUUUGAUUCUAUGCACAUGGCCUUCUAUAACUUUUAUUGUCAAGUCUCAAAUUUAUUUGGUCUAUGAAACUGAAUAUCGUUAUAUUAAAUAUAAGUUCACUUGAAAUUACAUUUUUAUAACUUCAUUUUCACUUCGUUACUAAUGUGAAUUUGUGGUUCGGAAGUUUGGGACUAUUUUAUACGGUAUAUUAUAUGUGUCUCAACAUCCAAUUUUGGCAAGGCUCCACAAAAGUUCUGCCUCCGCCACUGCGCCGUGGGCUUCGCCCUUCACCACCGCGAGUUGAGGAGGAGCACCAUCACCUCGGCUGUCUACUCGCAGAUGAGGUACGUUACGUGGCCAUGGUACGUGAUCCAUAUCAGUGGUAAAUUUUACGAUAUACAAUAGGCAUAUACAUUACGGAGUGUGGUGUACUUGGACCAUUCAUCCAGAAAAACCCUGUAUACAUUACAGAGCAUCGAACUUCUUUGAGAUUAAUACUGUAAAUCACGGAGUAUGCUUUCUUAUAUAUCAUGGACGCAAUCUUAGCACCAUAUGAAUCAUCAGUUAUAAGAUAUUAUUGAUAUGAUCUUGAUGGCGGUGGACAACAUCGGUGGAUCGGAGGGCAAUGGUGAGGGUUGCGAUUCGUUCUUCUUUGGCUAGGACAAAUAUUUCAAUCUUGGAACAGAGGAAGGAAGACACAAGUUGGUCCGUCCAACGACGGCCUUUGAAUUUUUUGUACAGAUGAUGAUGUCCGUGGCUCCAUCGCUGGCGGUGGUCACAAUGCGCAGCCGUAGGAAUGGACAAUAGACAAGCCAACAUGUACUCAGGUACAUCAUUCGUUCGUACCCCCUCCCAUCGAUCGAUCACACCUCCCCCAAUGUUUUACACUGUCAAAUGAAGACGUCACCAGGCCCUCGCACCCACUGUCGGCCUCCUCCCCCCACGCACUGCUCUGGCGCCAGCCUCUCCUGCGUACCUCCUUACCCCCGCCGGACGACCACGACACGUGCCCCACCGCCGCCAAGUGCCUCGGUGACGAUGAUGCCCAUUGGUAAGUUCAACCACGGCGGCGCCUUCCAACUCACUGUCCAUGCGCUGGACCUCCUUGCGGCCUACACUCUCGUUCCUCUUCGGCAACUUGUCCAAGUCCGAGCUCGCGGGCAUCACCGAGAAUACCAAGUUCGGCUAUGGCGUCGUCGUCAUCUCCAUAGUCGACGCACCCCUCAGGUUUGGGGUCUCCGCCAGGGGCACGCAGGACUAUAGGAAGGCCGACACCAAUGCUCUGGUGGUGCUCCACCAGUCUAACACUGGUGAGUACCUUUGCAAGGAGGAGGAGCUCAUGUGAGGUCAGAUUCAUCGUUAAGACAAGCCCAAUUUAAGUGAGGGUGAGUACCGAUCUGGGUUGGGCACAAUCUCCUCGAGGGCGGCACCAAGGUUCACUACCUAAAGAAGACCGAUGUAGUAAUUGACAUCGUAGAUAACUGGGUGAAGGUGUUCAAUGAAGGAGAUUCAGAGUCAUCAGUGUAGUAUGGAAACGAUGCACAUGCUGUCAUGGUAGUAGUUGAGGUGGUGUAUAUAUCAAGUGAUCUAUUCUAUAGGCAUUUUCUUUAGGUGUGAUGUUUGAUUUUAAGCAAAUCACGCUUGUUGUAUAAGUUUCUGCCCAUAAUGAUUUGCAGCGAACCUGGAGUGCGGCUUGAUCCAAUGGCUCGAUUGGAGCACUCAAUUGUGAUGAAGCUGUAAACUAGACUUGGUCAGCAGAAAAAAAAUUAGACGUUGCCACCAACAUUAAA